CUGGAGUGCCUGCACCCUGCGGUCCCCUACCCGGAACACCUGGGACAGACUGUCUCCAGUACCCGCCAGCAGGGCGCCAGGAAGUCUCCAUACUUGCUGGCUGUCAGGAUCUGACCCCCGGGGUCCCGACUAGGUGCAAAGGGGACGGUGAGAGGCACAGCUGUCUCCCCCAGCCUAAGCUGCUCAAGCUUCGCCCCAGCGCCCAGCCCUGUUUGGCCCCAAGGGUGACCCCCUCUCCCAGUAGCCAGAGCCUGGCAGGGGGAGACCCCAAGGUGCGUGUGUGCGAGGGGAGGCGGCCUUCGGAGCUUUGCUGCCCGGCUGGGGACCCCAGGGUGACCUGUCCUGUACAGUGUGGUCCUGGACUCAUGUGUGGAGAUGAGGAGGUAGAAACAAUAACGUAUAGAAGUUGUGCCAUAUCAGAAAAGUGGCUUCACACAAGAUGGGACAGCACACGGGUUUCCUGUUACUGGCAUUUGUGGAGCCCAAGUACAAGCAGAAGUGUGCUGAUUCCCACGCAGUUGCAAUUUCUGUCGUUAGCCACAGAUUUAGCGUUUGAAUGCAGUACAUGAAAUGUGUUCCUUACUGAAG
rnacentral:lncRNA from 1 species